GGACAUUUCUAGGUCAUUUCUUUUCUUUAUAGGCUCUCAAUGGUUCUCCACUGUUCUCAGGGGCAAAUAUAAGACCAUUGAAGAGGAAGAACCCAGCAAGCUGUCUUGUCUAAAGUCAUCAGCACCAACUGGGAAGCUGAGCUGAGCUGGACUCACAGGUCACCUGUCUAUAAAACCUGAGCAUUGAGCAGUUCACCACCCAGACGGGGGAACCCCCCUGAAUAAGGAAACAUCAAGCCAGCCCCAAACUCGGGCUUCUGGCCAGACCUUGGAUUGGAGUCAGUAGAAGUAUAUAGUACCAUCUACAAGGAGUUCUCUGCUCUACCUGAACAAAAAAGAAAAAUGGUAGAAAGAAAAAAGAAAAUCCCAUUUGCUUAUUGUAUGCACUAAGCCAUCUGAAAGAAAAGUUCUCUUUGACCUUACUUCACCCAUGACCCUGAAUGCACAGACAGCACAUGAAGGACAGUAUAAGAGCAAGUCUUCCUCUUCCAUGGAUUUACCUCUCCCUGAAGAAGCACACGCAGCCUCCUGAAUCCACUGAGGAUAUGCAUAGAGGAGCAAGGCCUCUGGAGUUGCAGCAAGAGUUGGUUCCUGACUAGGAAGCCUUUGCACCCUAGCCUACUGCUGCUGCUCCUUGUAGUAAGCUCCUGGGCAAACAACUGGGUGUGUUCAGAAUGGAAACGGCAGCCAUGCAGAUUCCAGACCUGGCCUGGUCUUUGGCACCCUCUAGAGGAAUAUUUCAUUCUCAUACCUGUGCUUUGAGUAACCAAAUCCUCUACCAUGUACACUGUUGGCUUCGUGAACUCUUCAGACUUACUGUUCAUCUCCACUGGCAGAUGUCUGCAGCAUCGAAAGAUUGGCAAUGACUCCCUCUCGUGUCAGCACGAUGUCACCUGCUCAAGUCCCCAAUCUCUGCCUUGUCCUUUCAGACCCAGCCAGGCCCUGAAUCUGAAGGACUUGGACCUCCCAUGGUUCUCGGUUUCCCUCUUGGCCUCACCUCAUUUAUUUAGCUCCCCAGCCUUCAGCCUGAACCCCACAUGGGGCCAGCUUUGGUUCCUUAAUGGAGGCUUGCCUUUCUCAAGGGAGGCAUUUUCCUGAGGGCUAGACCAUGUUUCUUCUUUCUGA